rnacentral:rRNA from 3 species
AGACCCGAAACCCGGUGAUCUAGCCAUGGGCAGGUUGAAGGUUGGGUAACACUAACUGGAGGACCGAACCGACUAAUGUUGAAAAAUUAGCGGAUGACCUGUGGCUGGGGGUGAAAGGCCAAUCAAACCGGGAGAUAGCUGGUUCUCCCCGAAAGCUAUUUAGGUAGCGCCUCGUGAAUUCAUCUCCGGGGGUAGAGCACUGUUUCGGCUAGGGGGCCAUCCCGGCUUACCAACCCGAUGCAAACUGCGAAUACCGGAGAAUGUUAUCACGGGAGACACACGGCGGGUGCUAACGUCCGUCGUGAAGAGGGAAACAACCCAGACCGCCAGCUAAGGUCCCAAAGUCAUGGUUAAGUGGGAAACGAUGUGGGAAGGCCCAGACAGCCAGGAUGUUGGCUUAGAAGCAGCCAUCAUUUAAAGAAAGCGUAAUAGCUCACUGGUCGAGUCGGCCUGCGCGGAAGAUGUAACGGGGCUAAACCAUGCACCGAAGCUGCGGCAGCGAAC